rnacentral:snRNA from 1 species
AUCACUUCUCGGCCUUUUGGAGAAGAUCAAGUGUAGUAUCUGUUCUUAUCAGUUUAAUAUCUGAUACGUCCUCUAUCUGAGGACAAUAUAUUAAAUGGAUUUUUGGAGCUCGGCUUUGGAAUAGGAGCUUGCUCCAUCCACCCCAUGCAUCUACCUGGUAUUUCAGUACCUCUAGGAAUGGUGCGCCCUCU